rnacentral:rRNA from 1 species
GACGAACCGCCCAAACGUUAUUCGGAAUUACUGGGCUUAAAGGGUGCGUAGGCGGCCCGGCAAGUCAGGUGUGAAAUCCCACGGCUCAACCGUGGAACUGCGCUUGAAACUGCUGGGCUUGAGGGAGAUAGAGGUAAGCGGAACUGAUGGUGGAGCGGUGAAAUGCAUUGAUAUCAUCAGGAACACCGGUGGCGAAGGCGGCUUACUGGGUCUCUUCUGACGCUGAGGCACGAAAGCUAGGGCAGCAAACGGGAUUAGAUACCCGCGUAGU